rnacentral:lncRNA from 1 species
GGGAUACAGAGUGGCUUAUGGAAGGCUUCGUACCUGUCGUGUAACCGACGUGGGACCUGAGCCACCUAGCCUUACCCCAGUGUCCAUGCUCUUCAUCAGGACAUGCAACAGCUUUGUCACUGUGCAUAAAUGAAGGAAGGAAGUAAAGGAAUGAAAAUGCUGCCUGCCUUCUAGCUGUUUGAUGGAAUGCUGCACUUCCAUGCUUCAGGGAGGGAUACUUCAUUCUUUGCUGCUCAAACUUAUAUGAUUGAAGAUGCAUUCUAAAAAGGUAUCUGGCUUUGUCUCCUUGAGCUGAAAGAUCUCAUCUCCUGAACUUUGGUCUAAUUAGCAGUUUUUAGAAUUUGGAUCUGAAAUGUCCCCCAAAAGCUUGUGUGUUGAAGGCUUGGUGCUAUUGGGAGGUGGUAGAAAUUUUAGGAUAUGGGGACAAUUGGAGAAAGAGCAUCACAGAGUAUGUUUUUGAAGGGUGUAUUUUGUCCCUUGACCGCUCCCCCUUCUUCCUGAUCACCAUGAGGUAAGCAACUUUGCUCCAUCAUACCCUCCUGACAUGGUGUUCUGCCUUACCACUGAUGGGGCCAAGCCACUAUGAACUGAAACUUCUGAAACGCUGACCCGAAAUAAAUAUUUUGUCUUUAGAGCUGUUUUUCUCAGGUGUUUUAUCAUAGUGGCAGAAAUCUAACACAGUAGUUGAUAUCAAUAACUUCUAUUAUGGGUAUUUCUAUUAUUUUAUUUCUAUAAGAAUUCAUAGUAUUAUGAAAGAAAUAUUUUCUAACACUAUUGAUCAGAAGGAAAGCUAAGGGGCUAGGAUUGUGGCUCAGUGUUAGAGUUCUUGCCUAGCAUGUGUGAAGCACUGGGUUUGAUUCUCAGCACUGCAUAUAAAUAAAUAAUUUAAAAAGUCCAUUGACAACUAAACUAAAAGGUAAUCUGUCUAAACAACUUUAAAAAAAACAUAUAAGUUCUUAUCAUUCUCUUUCUAGUAAACAGGGUUAAGUCAGAACUUGAAAAUCAAACAGAAAUGUGUCCAAGACUACAUCAAAGGUAUCUACUAGCAGAAAUUUGACCAUAAUUGUGAAAAUGGCACAUUUAAUAGAAAUCACUUUUUUCAUGUACAUGAUCACAAACCAACCAUUAAGAUAAUUGAUUCCCUUCUCAAAGAGCUGUCGUUUUGAUAGUAAAAAGAAAACUUCAGACAUUUUGAGAACAAGGGAGCAGAGGUGGCUUGUGCUACCAUGGCUGCUUUUUGUAGGAAUUCCUACUGUAUCAGAUUCCUACUGGGCUUUGACAGCCCUUGUCAGAAGUUGCUGUUUUUGAGCAAUUAUUUUUAGUCAACUCUUGUUGUUGGGGAUUUGUUUGUUUAAAAAAAAAUCUUCUUACAAUAUCUGUCUACUAGAACGCCCAGAUAUUGAUCUCCCUUUUGCCUUCGUGCUAAUAUGGGCCAUGUACCUGCACCACCAUGUGGAUGGCAACUCCCGCCAGAUUUGAGGCUCAGUGUGCUCAUGCUUUUUCUGUGUCCUCAACUUCUAAAUAGUUAUCUAAUAAGAUGUUGGGUCAGGAAUCUUUCCAUUCUGGUCCCCUUCUCUGCUAUUUUCACUCAUAGUUCCUUUUACAUUUUAGCAUAUAGCCUAGAAUACAACAUUAAGUAAGAAAUCUGUCCUCCUUCAGUUUAGAUACUGGAUUUGCAGUAUACAAAGAUUGUCAGUCUCAUUUGUUGCUUGUUCAGUGUUUGCUUAUUCACUAGGUUGAUCCAUACUGAAUUUAUGGUCAACAAAAACCCUAACAUGGCUUUAGAUCUGCAUUAUGUGGAUGAUCAUAUUUUGAAAUACAGCAUUCCUGCUCUCUUUCUACUUUAACACUUUCAUAAUUUCCCUUCUAAAUUUUCUUUCUUGAAUCCAAGGGUUAUUGAGAAGUAUUUUCAUCUAGGCAUUGAUUGUUCAGUUAUGUCUUUAUCAUUGAUUUGUAAUUUUAUUGCUUCAUAGAUAAAGUCUGUAUGAUAUGGAUUUUUAGGAAUUUACUGAGAUCUAGUUUAUAGCUUUGUUCAAGGUAACUUUUUCUAAAUUUUCCAAUUUUGCUUGAGGGAAAUGUUUAGUCUCUGUUGGCAUAAAUUUAUUAGAACUUUUUUUUCUUUAAUCUAUGAGCAAUAAGCUUUAUUGACUCUGCUUGAUUUAUCAGUAGUUAUUACUUACUAAUCUUCAACUGUGAUUAUUGGUGUAUACAUUUCCCUUAUAGUUUUGCCAGUAGUUGUUGUAUAACUUUUUCAGUAACAUUGUUAUUUGCAUAGAUUCACAAUGAUUAUACAUAAGUCUAGUGUUUUCUUCAAGAUCAUUUCUACUUUCAAUUUUGUCUGAUUCUUUCAUUCUUCUAUGUACACAGUCAUUUUUGCCCAUCCCUCUUUAUUCAAAUAUCAUGUGUUUUGCUGUUUAAUAUUUUUGAAUUAAAAAAAUCUAUCAAGGAGUCUUUUGAUCAGUGAUCACAACCAUUUUCAUUUCUCUUAAUUACUAUUAGAUUGGAAUCUACUUGAUAUUCUUUCUGUUUUUUUCCAAUUUAUUAAGGUUUUUACUUUUGCAACCUUCAAUUUUUUUCUCUUUUCCUAAUAUCUUCUAAAUAUAGUCUAUUUUUGGCUAGUUUGAAAAGUGGUUAUCCUUUAUUCAGAUUUAUGCUGAAGCUUAAUUUUUCUAAUCAGUUUUUAAGCUUAUAAAUAUCUAUGAAUUCUAUUUCAAUAAAUUAACCAAACCCUCAAUGUGAUCUAAAGUUUUCAUUCUUGAUUGUUAUGGACAUUUUCUUCCUUUUUAGGUCUUUCCUUUUCUUAUGGUCUUUGCUUUUUUAUACAAUAGAAUAUUUCCCCAAAAUAUUUAUUCACCUUAAUUCUCAUGUUUUCAGCAUCUUCCUGAAUACAUUUUUUUUUCUUGUUGGAGAACAUGUCAAAGGGGUUUUUACAUGAUAAGCUUUUUGAAGCCUUUUGUGUCUGAAGAGGUCUUUAUUUUACAUUCAGAAUUAAAUAAAACAUUGAGUUGGAAAUAAAAUUCUAGUUUAGUGUGCCUCUCCUUCAGUACAUUGAAAGCAGAUGGUCUACUUAAAUAUAAGGUUGUCCUUGAGAAUUUCAAAAUACUCUGAUUCUCACUUUUUGGAUUUUCCUCUCUGGAGCUUUAAAAAACUUCUAAUUUUUAUUUGAUGUUUUUAACUUUUCAGCAUAACCUAUCUCAGUGUUGAAUUAUUCCAAUGUUUUUAGUUUCCCAUUAUGUAUUCUUUAAAUCUAAGUUCUUAAAAUUUUCUUUUGUUCUGAAAAUUUUAAGUCAUUUUUUUUAACAUAUCUUGUCUCCCUGUUUUUUUUCUCUACAAAAUUCAUACAUUAGGUUGAUUUUUCUAGUCUUAAUAUUUUUGUAGCUUCUCUUUUACAUAUCUCUUCUUGAUAUUUUUGGUGGCCUCUUUUAAACUUGGCUGUGGUAGAUACUCUUGAUGACCUACCCAACAGCUAUUUCCCCUCCUUUCUUGCAUACUUUAUAUGACAACAUAACUAGACCCAAGGAAUAUAUCAAUAUUGAUUUAAGUGAAUCAAGAAAGUUCUGUUGACACUGAGCACUUUGAAUGAACAUAUGACCCUAGGAAUGUGCUUCCUGCAUUGACUUAUGGCAUUCUGCCAUUUUCACAAGACCAGAGACAGUGAAGGAGAGGGUAGUCAGCAUGACUGAUAGUGCCCACUUGCCAACAAAUGGAGUCUUGAGAGUCCUGAUUAGAUUUGUUUUUGAACAACUAAGAAAUUUUUUCUUUUUGUAUUCUGUGUGUCAUGUUGCUGUGCAUUUUGUAUCACCAUAUAUUUGAAUGUAUUAUUUUAUUUAGCUAUUUCUGGCUAAAAGGCUAUAGAGUCAAAUAUGCUGAGGACUUUGAGGCUACCUGUUUUUACUGUUAACUAUUGUUAAUACAGGUUGAGUAUCCUUUACUCCAAAUUCUUGGAACCAAAAAGCAUUUUGGAUUUUUUGAAUUUUGGAAUAUUUUCCAUAUACAUGAUAUAUUUUGGAAAUGCCAUUUUACUGAACUGUUAAAGGAAGUCAUCAAGAGAGCAAUAGGAGAUCUUUUACAUGGUAGGAAGUGAGAAAAGCUAGUACUAAUGGAUGGCAACAUUCUCAAUAGAGAAGAAAGUAUAGGACAGGCAAAGUGGUGCUGUAGCCUGUGGGGGGAGGUAUAGAAUGAAAACCCUUUUGGAUGUUGGACCUUCAUGUAGACAUUGGGGAGCAAUAGAAAUGCUUACUAAGUGCUUUCUUGUUCAAAGAUUAGAGGGGUUGCACAAAGGAAGGGACUCAGCUUGGCAGGGCAGUGCUUGAUUGUCAUAGUGCAGCAGAAUGAAUCACAAUAUCAAGAGUGAACAGCAUUCCGUAAAGUUCAAAUGGUAAUGUGCCAUUUCCUUGGGACCAAGAAGGCAAAGAUGAGAUACCAGUAUGACUGAUUGUGCCCUCUUUUUUUUUUUUUUUUGUACCACAGAUUGAAUCCAAGGGCACUUAACCACUGAGCCAUAUUCCCAGCCCUUUUUAUUAUUUAUUUUUUAUUUUUAGACAGGGUCUCAGUAGGUUGCUUACAGCCUUGCUAAGUUGCUGAGUCUGGCUUUGAACCUAUGAUCCUCCUGCCUUGGCCUCCCAAACUGCUGGGAUUUACAGGUGUGUGCAACCAUGCCCCGCUUGUGCCUUUUCAUUAAGAGUGUUAAAUAGACUCUUAGAAUUUAGAUUUGAUUUCAGAAAAUUAAGAAAUAUAUAUAUAUAUAUAUAUAUAUAUAUAUAUAUACACACACACACACACAUUUAUGUGUCACUGAGUACUUCGUUUCUAUUAUUGACAUAUGAGUACAUUAUUUUACUUUUUUUUUUUUAACCAAAGUUAUGGGCACUUUGAGGAAGACUGAAUCUUAAUUGCUUUUGUAAGGUCAGCAUGUCACAAGUUGAAUGCAAAGCAGGUAUCAACAAAUAUGUCCUGACUAGACAGAUAAGAGGAAUUCAGAGAGGUUGAUAUUGCUGUCUGCUGUAAGUCUUAUGAGCAUAAUUAGGUAACUGUGUAACUUUCAGACACUUUUUUCUUUUCUUUUCUUUUUUCUGGUAUAGUGCUAGUGAUCCAAACCAGAACCUGGUACAUGCAAGGCAAGUAUUCUGCCGCUCCGCUGAACUAUACCUACAGUCCCUUUCACAGGACUGAAUGAAUGACUUAGUGUAUUUGAUUCAUCAUGAUUUAGUUCUUUCUGAGGAAUGAAAUAAUGCACAAUUAAUUGCAAUGAAAAUUAUACUUAGCUUUUUUGGCACUAAAGUUUCUGUCAACACAGAGAAAUUGACAUGACCUUACUGAGAAUAUUAACACCAUAAAACAAUACACAGUUGAGUACUGUGUUCCUUACUGAAUCUCUGUCAUCAAUAUAUAAGAAAUGAUUGUUAGGUGCCCCCAUUAUUGUCCCUGUAAUUUUUAAGCCUGUGAUUCUUGAGCCAUAAAAUGUUUUUACCCUUUUGAUUUAAAUAUAUUUUCAUAUCCUAAUUUUACUUAUAAAAAUGGUAAGAUUUUUAGUUCACAUUUUUUAUGUAUGUGGAUUGUCCACAUUUUAUUAUUAAAUGUCAUAUGACAAGCACACAUCAUUCAUUAAUCAUGUAACCCCAGACUACAAUUAAUGGGUAGCAAUCACAUAUUAGUAUGCUAAAUGUUUUUCAGAUUU